CCGCCAUAGGACUCUUCCCACUAUGUUCUAUGUGCAUCGGAAAACGGUUGUUCAUUUUCGUUUGGAACGUUCUUGGGUUCUUUAAAUGAAAUUAAUCUCUCGAAGCGUGCCUUGGGUCGUGUUAGUUUGAACUUGUUAACAAUUCUUCUAAUCCAAUGAGCAUGUUGAAACAGCAGCAUUUCCUAACAAAUACUUUUAGUGUUAAUAUGGGGGAGGAUGAAAAGGGCUAGAUUCAUAGUGCAAGGAAUAAUUGAAAAUAAUUUCAAUUAGAAAGAGGGUUAAAGCUAAAGCUACUAAGCUUGAGCGAAGUCUUCAACAUGGGAAAGUAGAAAGGAAGUAAGAUGCCAUCUAAAACAAAAAUUCAUUGCAAUGGACUUUCAUGAGUAAGAAAAAUUCCUUAAAUAGGUUUCACACAAUGUACAAGUUUAAGUAACCUCGUUCUGGAAUUAGGUACGAAGUGUGAGAUGUGUUACUCGACAGUACAAAAAUAAAUAUUUAAAUCGAAAGAUAACCAUAAUAAGAGAUACGGAAUGAGCAUCGUUUAGGAAAAAUUAAAUUUAUUCCAUAAAAGAUGUAUGAUACAUUCAAAUGGUACUAUAAAAUGUAAAACAUUACUAGACUAUACUGUCGUGUUUACUUGGAAAGUAAUAAUGCACAAAGUGGUACUGAUGCAGUAGUUUCAAAUAUAAAAUUCAAUUGUUUUUAAUUUAUUACUAUCUUUACAAUAUAGCAUCUUUCCUAUAAAGAAUAUUAAUGAAAACGUGACACGAAAUAAAAAACGGAACUCCGGAUUCAAAUACAUGAUUCGUAAGUUUAAAUGGCAGAUACAUUCGAAGCUUUAAUUUAAAGUACAAAUUUCAUUAAGUGACUGCGAUCGUCAUGGAAAGCUACGUUUUCAUCCAAAUUGAGCAUUAGUACUUGAUUCAUAUAUCUUGUUUUUUUAUACAUUAUUUCGUAAAAGAAAUAUUAAUUAAUCAAUAAGUAUGUAAAGUAAAUAUAUUUAUAGGAUGCUACAAAUGCAGUA